GUCAACUACCGCACACUGACCCUAACGGGUACAGUGUGGGCUUGAAUAAAGCUUGUUGACCAGACGGCUAGAAAAAUCUAGCAGCCGUUAGUGCCAAGAGUUAAAGUUCGUACCUUGGGAUGCGUGCCAGUUCCAAGCUCUACA
rnacentral:sRNA from 14 species